rnacentral:rRNA from 1 species
UACGUAGGGUGCAAGCGUUAAUCGGAAUUACUGGGCGUAAAGCGUGCGCAGGCGGUUUUGUAAGUUUGUCGUGAAAGCCCCGGGCUCAACCUGGGAAUGGCGAUGAAGACUGCAAGGCUUGAAUCUGGCAGAGGGGGGUAGAAUUCCACGUGUAGCAGUGAAAUGCGUAGAGAUGUGGAGGAACACCGAUGGCGAAGGCAGCCCCCUGGGUCAAGAUUGACGCUCAUGCACGAAAGCGUAGGGAGCAAACAGG